GCCUGCUCCUCGAAGGAACACGCGCCUUCCCGUCUUCCAGGAUUGUUCUUCCAAAACAACAUGCUGUGCCGAUCUGUUUGGAAGGAAAGGAGGAGAGAGAGGGCAUCUUCCAACUCAGGGACAUGAAGAAAUACCGGAGCCCAGGCCAGUCCUGAACAGAACUCAGGAAGGUCGCACAAAAAGCAAGUUCCUGGGAUUCAGUCUGUAGUCUGAGUGGGCUGGCGUGUUCUUGCUGGGCUAUUUCUGUACAGAAAGCUGUCUGGAACCAUCUGAGAAUCACUAACCGCUGCGGUU
rnacentral:lncRNA from 1 species